CUUGUCCUCCCUCUGUUCAAAAAUACUUGUCAAAGAAAUGGAUAGAAAUGGAUGUAUCUAGAACUAAAAUAUGUCUAGAUACAUCCAUGCCUUCGACAAGUAUUUCCGGAUGGAGGGAGUAAUAA
rfam:Triticum aestivum genome assembly, contig: Triticum_aestivum_CS42_TGACv1_scaffold_434642_5DL